rnacentral:rRNA from 1 species
GAUGAACGCUGGCGGCGUGCCUAAUACAUGCAAGUCGAGCGAACAGACGAGGAGCUUGCUCCUCUGACGUUAGCGGCGGACGGGUGAGUAACACGUGGAUAACCUACCUAUAAGACUGGGAUAACUUCGGGAAACCGGAGCUAAUACCGGAUAAUAUAUUGAACCGCAUGGGUCAAUAGUGAAAUACGGUUUUGCGGUCACUUAUAGAUGGAUCCGCGCCGCAUUAGCUAGUUGGUAAGGUAACGGCUUACCAAGGCAACGAUGCGUAGCCGACCUGAGAGGGUGAUCGGCCACACUGGAACUGAGCCACGGUCCAGACUCCUACGGGAGGCAGCAGUAGGGAAUCUUCCGCAAUGGGCGAAAGCCUGACGGAGCAACGCCGCGUGAGUGAUGAAGGUCUUCGGAUCGUAAAACUCUGUUAUUAGGGAAGAACAAAUGUGUAAGUAACUAUGCACGUCUUGACGGUACCUAAUCAGAAAGCCACGGCUAACUACGUG